rnacentral:rRNA from 1 species
AAACGUAGGAGGCUAGCGUUAUCCGGAUUUAUUGGGCGUAAAGCGCGUGCAGGCGGUCUAGCAAGUUGGAUGUGAAAGCUCCUGGCUUAACUGGGAGAGGUCGUUCAAUACUGUUAGACUAGAGAAUAGGAGAGGGAGGUGGAAUUCCGGGUGUAGUGGUGAAAUGCGUAGAUAUCCGGAGGAACACCAGUGGCGAAAGCGGCCUCCUGGACCACUUCUGACGCUAAGACGCGAAAGCUAGGGUAGCAAACGGGAUUAGAGACCCCGGUAGUCCUAGCCGUAAACGAUGUAGACUUGGCGUUGGCGGAGUUAAAGCUGCCAGUGCCGUAGCUAACGCGAUAAGUCUACCGCCUGGGGACUACGACCGCAAGGUUAAA